rnacentral:pre_miRNA from 1 species
ACAAAGUUCCUUUGGGUAAGAAGUACUACUUGUCAUAAAAAUGGAUAAAAGGAGAUGUAUCCAGAGGUAUUUUAGUUCUAGAUACAUCUCUUUUUAUCCAUUUUGAUGACAAGUAUUUUUCGAACGGAGGGAGCUUAUA